rnacentral:lncRNA from 1 species
GUGAUUUCCAAAAGCAGCUCCCCACAGAAUAUGAAUGCAAAUGUUAAUCAAGCAGGUGUGUUUGUUAGGACUUUUUUUGAACUGUGGAUUAAUACACAUCUGAUGCUCUUCUGAGUACAUCUGAUGUAGCAGGACGAUGAAUGUAGAACUGACUUAGACAAAUCACAGUGCUCAUGUUCAAAAUGAUGUCACCCCUUGCAACAGUGAAGCUCAAUGAUGAACAAGCUCUAUCGGGCACAUCAGUAAUCAAUUCAUCGUUAGUUUGGGUAUUUUGAUGGAAUUUGUUGACAGUAAGAGAUUUAUAGAAACUUUUAGGUUAUCAUUUCCUUCAAUAAGACUGACAGCACUAACAUGCUGAUGUUAGGGUUAAAAAACACACAGCAAAUUAAAACACAGUGGCAAAUCAUAUUGAUUUGCACUUCGGGGUCAUCGUAGAUAUUGUUCGUUUAGCAGCUAUUCAUAAAAAAAAGUUGACCUGAUGACGACAGAUCACAAGAUACAUUUGAGGACUUGAGGCGAGAGAGUGAACAAAAAAGGGAAGCCCGAAACAUGUUAAUGCCACAAAAGGUUAUAUGCAUGUUUUUUUAUUAAACUUCCUAAGAAUAAAAAAGUUUAGGAACCAUUGUACAACAGGAAGAGUCUGGGGAUUAUCAAAGUCAGUCAGAGCAGCAGGAGUAUCUGUAAAAUUUCAUGUAAAUCCAUCCAAUAGUUUUUACUUUGACCAGCUGUGAACUGCCGGGAUGAUUCGAAAAAUGUUCUGAUCACAGCUCUUUAAUGCACGUCACUGUAAACUAAUCCCGUGCUCUGCAUUGAGUGCAUAUAUUUUCCUAACGGUCGAACAUUGAGGUGCAACGUUGAAAGUAAACAUCUCUCCAGGUACCAGAUGGUAAACAGCAGUGAUGUUUGUUCAGGGUUUGGACGACAGCACAGAGGCAGCUCUACGUCUCGGAGACAGACCGAACUGCUGGAUGUGGAUGAGGUCAUUUGUGACCUCGGAGGGAAACUGGAUGGUGACAAAAGGGACACACAAACAUCCCGGCCAAGCAUUCGCUCAACUCCAGAGAAAAGGACGAGAGAAACCGAACUGAGACCAAACAAGGUACGAACUUCAGAAAUGAAUCCCACCGCAGUCACAUCAGCACAAUACUCAAAUCUGAAAUCAAUCCCCGGACCUCAUCCUGUGGACACUUGUGUGGAUGUAAGAGGGUCGGAUCAGUGUGAGGAAGAUAAAGGUAAUCCUUUUCGCUUCACAAGAGCAGGGAGAGGAGAGCGACCAGCGGGACCUGUAAUAAUGAUGUAUUUCUGA